GGUUUCACACGUGAGAAAUUUGAUAGAGCA
rnacentral:piRNA from 1 species